rnacentral:rRNA from 1 species
CCCUUAGAUGUCCUGGGCCGCACGCGCGCUACACUGAGUGGAUCAGCGGGUCAGGUUGCGCGAAAGCGUUUCCUAAUCUUUAAAUCCGCUCGUGAUGGGGAUUGACGGUUGCAAUUUUCUGUCAUGAACGAGGAAUACCUUGUAAGCGCGGGUCAUCAUCCCGCGCUGAAUACGUCCCUGCCCUUUGUACACACCGCCCGUCGCUCCUACCGAUUGAGUGGUCCGGUGAGGCUUUGGGAUCUGAGCGGAAAGAGCGUUUCGCUGUUUCUGCUCGGAAAACUCAGUCGAACCUUAUCAUUUAGAGGAAGGAGAAGUCGUAACA